UACUACGGUAUUUAUAUAAUAUUAACAUAAUUCAUAUUACUUUUUAGUAUAUGAAACUUUACUUUGAGAAAAUUAGAGUGCUUAAAGCAGGCUAUUGCCUUGAAUACUCCAGCAUGGAAUAAUAUUAAGGAUUUUUAUUCUUCUUAUUGGUUCUAGAAUAAAAAUAAUGAUUAAUAGGGACAGUUGGGGCCAUUYGUAUUUA
rnacentral:rRNA from 1 species